CACGAACGCUGGCGGCAGGCUUAACACAUGCAAGUCGAGCGCCCCGCAAGGGGAGCGGCAGACGGGUGAGUAACGCGUGGGAAUCUACCCAUCUCUACGGAAUAACGCAUGGAAACGUGUGCUCAUACCGUAUCCGUCCUUCGGUGGAAAGAUUUAUCGGAGAUGGAUGAGCCCGCGUUGGAUUAGCUAGCUGGUGGGGUAAAGGACUACCAAGGCGACGAUCCAUAGAUGGUGUGAGAGGAUGAUCAGCCACACUGGGACUGAGACACGGCCCAGACUCCUACGGGAGGCAGCAGUGUGGAAUAUUGGACAAUGGGCGCAAGCCUGAUCCAGCCAUGCCGCGUGAGUGGUGAAGGCCCUAGGGUUGUACAGCUCUUUCACCGGUGAAGAUAAUGACGGUAACCGGAGAGGAAGCCCCGGCUAACUUCGUGCCAGCCGCCGCGGUAAUAC
rnacentral:rRNA from 1 species